rnacentral:rRNA from 1 species
GACAGAGGCCUCAAGCGUUAGGCGGAAUCACUGGGCUUAAAGCGUGUGUAGGCGGGUCGUUAAGUACCUUGUGAAAUCCCACGGCUCACCCGUGGAACUGCUGGGUAUACUGGCGAUCUUGGGCCAACUAGGGGCAACUGGAACAAGCGGUGGAGCGGUGAAAUGCGUAGAUAUCGCUUGGAACGCCAAAGGGUGAAAAACAGGUUGCUGGGGUUGUGCCGAC